AACAAAAAAACAAUAUGAACUUUAAGUAUGAACUUUAAGUAGUUACACAAGUAAAAUAUAUUUCAUAGCAGCAUUAUACGAAAUUGAUGGCUGUUGUUAAUAAAUGUUUGUUCCGCAUGCAUGUGGGUAUAGAUAUGGGAGUAUAUAGGUAGAGUAUUUACAUUAAUUAGAGCAUAAAGCUUAUUGGCUUAUUUGGCACAAACAACACAGAACAAAUAACUCUUUUUGUAUUAAUUUGUGAAGCUUUUUUCUAUAACUAACUUAAUCAGUAUUCAUCUUACUUAAAUUACUUUGCAUAAACUUUACUCCCCAGAAUCUAUACAUAUUGGAUCCUUACAGUACAAUUAUAAUAAUUUUCCUCUUUUUUGUCACAAAGAAAAAAACAGUUUUUUCCUUGUUUGUCCAACUUUAUCUCUCUUUCUCUCUUUUUCUAUCUAUCUUUAUCUAUCUUUCUCUUUCUCAGUCUUAAUCUUUCUUUCAUUCUCCCCACCUCCUUCUUCCUCUCCCCCCAUCCCUCCAUGCCCCAGUGAGUAAUGGGCCCUUUUCACAUUUCCGGGUUUGGAAUGCGGAAGUAAAAAAUAGCAGGGUAAACAACGCGUGUAGAACGUAUAGACGAAAUGGAGCAGCAUAGGAAAUGCUACUGCAGCGAGCCUUUCUGCUCAAACAGCAAACGCAAACAACCAAACCUGAGUUUCCACGACUUUCCAAAUGUCACACGUUUACGCGGUAAAUAGAUAAGAGCAAUUAGGAGAGAGGAAAAUGCCACAUUUACGGUUCUGCGCGGCAGUACAUAUGCGUGUAGCCAGCACUUCAGGCCGGAUGAGCUAUAUGUCAAAGCGGGAGGGAACAGAGCCAGGAAUCAGUUUCAACACGAUUCGCCUGGAAUAAUUUUGGGAGUCGAUAUGAAAACCGCCUGACACCCUACGAGAAGGCAAGUACUCGUCUCGGUUUGAACACUGAAGCUGCCAUGGGACAGAGAGACGAGGAGGACCUGAAGCUAUGCUAACCGAGCCAAGCACGAUUACUGCCGUCCACCGUCUCCUGGCAAAGUGGACGCUGCAGCUGCACGAAUAAGGGAGCUGGAGCAAAAAGUGAUUGAGCUGGAGAAUUAAAUAAAACAGCUUGCAGACCAACCUAGGCUUAACCAUUUCUGCUCAACUAAAGAAGAGUUCCACUUUUUCCACACAAUUUCCCUUGACUCAGUACAAAAUUCUGUCUAAAUAUUUUAGCUUUAACUUACCAUGUGAGCUUCAUUUGUUUUUUGUAUUUUUAGAUUUUUUUUAAUUUGAGUGUUUUAUAAAUAUAAUAAAUGAAAUACAUUUUAA